rnacentral:lncRNA from 1 species
AUGGAGCAGCCAGACGGCAUCUCAGGGGACGUCAGGGCACAGAUCUCACAGACCUCCUCUACCCGCAGGCAAGUGGGAGCAGAAAUGGGCUCCUGCCGUGUCCCUGCUUCAGAGACACUCACCAUGGUUGGGAUGGAAGAUGUAGGUCAAGCCCCACGGCCCCUCUGUUUCCUUCCAGCCCAAGCGUCUGUGCAACCUAGUCCUGCCCUUGGAAGAUUUACGGAGCAGCAGGCCACGAUGCCAAAGGAGGACCUAGCCCAGUAUUUGGAGCCAAAUCAACGUCAUGGAGAUCACAGAUUUAAUGAUUGUAAUAAUUGCAAAAAGAAGAGAACAAAACUAUUUUCUGCACCGCGAUUUCUUCCAAGACUGAGUGGAGAACCUGCAUCGAGGCCACGGCUGCUGGACACCAUCAUGGGAAGGACACCCUGGCAACUUGAAGGGCUUGGCGAGGGGUGCAGCACCCACCCAGCUCUGCUGCGUGGUGUCCUCGGCCAAGCACCUUGUUCCUGCCCAACACCAAGACUUUUCAGCCAGAGAAAAGGUAUUGCUGGUGCUUGGUGGGAUCGUAGGUGUAUUUUCCUGUUCAUUACUUGGAUGGAGACCAUUCAAAUCCCUGGUCCAUGGGCCAUGCAGCCCCAGUUACUGCUGGUUAUUGAACCCCCAGGACCAUCAGCCCCUGCUUGGUGCUGCGCAGAGCCAAGCAGUGCCUUUCAGCUGAGGGUGACCUGGAGGGGAAGGCUGACCAUCUCUAAUCAUUACCAAUCCUCUGCACUUUAUUUUUAAUCAAAGCAGAUCCCUAGACUGUUUCCAAUACUUUUUAAUGGGCAAAAAGGGGCUUCGAUUAUAAAGACAAUAACGUUAAAUUAUUUAAGGGCCUGGA